AACGAACGCUGGCGGCAUGCCUAACACAUGCAAGUCGAACGAGACCUUCGGGUCUAGUGGCGCACGGGUGCGUAACGCGUGGGAACCUGCCCUUAGGUUCGGAAUAACUCCCCGAAAGGGGUGCUAAUACCGGAUAAUGUCUUCGGACCAAAGAUUUAUCGCCUUUGGAUGGGCCCGCGUUGGAUUAGCUAGUUGGUAGGGUAAAAGCCUACCAAGGCGACGAUCCAUAGCUGGUCUGAGAGGAUGAUCAGCCACACUGGGACUGAGACACGGCCCAGACUCCUACGGGAGGCAGCAGUGGGGAAUAUUGGACCAUGGGCGAAAGCCUGAUCCAGCCAUGCCGCGUGAGUGAUGAAGGCCUUAGGGUUGUAAAGCUCUUUUACCCGGGAUGAUAAUGACAGUACCGGGAGAAUAAGCUCCGGCUAACUCCGUG
rnacentral:rRNA from 1 species